rnacentral:rRNA from 1 species
UACGUAGGGUGCGAGCGUUAAUCGGAAUUACUGGGCGUAAAGCGUGCGCAGGCGGUUUUGUAAGCCAGAUGUGAAAUCCCCGGGCUUAACCUGGGAAUGGCAUUUGGGACUGCGAGGCUCGAGUGCGGCAGAGGAGACUGGAAUUCCUGGUGUAGCAGUGAAAUGCGUAGAUAUCAGGAGGAACACCGAUGGCGAAGGCAGGUCUCUGGGCUGACACUGACGCUCAUGCACGAAAGCGUGGGGAGCAAACAGG